AAAAUUAUAAUUAACAAAAAAAUGUAAAUCAAAUAAAACAGUGGUUUCUAACUAUCCAUUACAUCAAAAAUAAAAUAUGAAAAAAAAACUAUAAAGUCAUAAAAUGUAUAGCCAAAUCUAAUGUAGGAAUAAAAAAAAUUAAAACUAUCAUGAUAUAUUGACAUAAAAUAUCAACCUAAAUCAUUGCUUAUUGUUUACUCCUCUAGAUUUUUC
rnacentral:lncRNA from 1 species